GUGGGGAAUCUUCCGCAAUGGACGAAAGUCUGACGGAGCAACGCCGCGUGAGUGAAGAAGGUUUUCGGAUCGUAAAGCUCUUUCGUUAGGGACGAACGUGCUCUUUGUGAAUAAUGAGGAGUAAUGACGGUACCUAAAUAAGAAGCCACGGCUAACUACGUGCUAGCAGCCGCGGUAAUACGUAGGUGGCAAGCGUUGUCCGGAAUUAUUGGGCGUAAAGCGCGCGCAGGCGGGAUAUCAAGUCUGUCUUAAAAGUGCGAGGCUCAACCUCGUGAGGGGACAGAAACUGGUAUUCUUGAGUGUCGGAGAGGAAAGUGGAAUUCCAAGUGUAGCGGUGAAAUGCGUAGAGAUUUGGAAGAACACCAGUGGCGAAGGCGACUUUCUGGACGAUGUCUGACGCUGAGGCGCGAAAGCUAGGGGAGCGAACGGGAUUAGAUACCCUUGUAGUCC
rnacentral:rRNA from 1 species